AUUGAACGCUGGCGGAAUGCUUUACACAUGCAAGUCGAACGGCAGCACGGACUUCGGUCUGGUGGCGAGUGGCGAACGGGUGAGUAAUGUAUCGGAACGUGCCCAGUCGUGGGGGAUAACGUAGUGAAAAUUACGCUAAUACCGCAUACGAUCUAUGGAUGAAAGCGGGGGAUCGCAAGACCUCGCGCGAUUGGAGCGGCCGAUAUCAGAUUAGGUAGUUGGUGGGGUAAAGGCCCACCAAGCCAACGAUCUGUAGCUGGUCUGAGAGGACGACCAGGCACACUGGAACUGAGACACGGUCCAGACUCCUACGGGAGGCAGCAGUGGGGAAUUUUGGACAAUGGGCGAAAGCCUGAUCCAGCCAUUCCGCGUGCAGGAUGAAGGCCCUCGGGUUGUAAACUGCUUUUGUACAGAACGAAAAGGUUUCUACUAAUACUAGGAGCUCAUGACGGUACUGUAAGAAUAAGCACCGGCUUACUACGUGCCAGCAGCCGCAGUAA
rnacentral:rRNA from 1 species